AAAAUGGCGGUCAUGCAGUGUUUACCGGUAGCUAAUAAUGCUUAUUGCCACUGAUAACAGGUGAUAAUCAAGGUGUCAACUGUGCUACCAGAUGUAAUUGCAGUUCUAAUUGCUCAUUAUCCUCAUAAAAAGUGUUUUUUAUCAAAGACAGAGAUACCAGAUGUGGAAAUUUUGCAAAAAAGGACGGUAAAUAACGAUAUGAAUUUACUUGAUACUUUGCUGCAAACAAGUUUAUAUGCGCAUAAAACAAAACAAUUCCUCCAUAAAUAAUACGGUGAUCAGGAAAGACAUGAACUACAGUACUUUAUUAUUAAUUUAAAGAGGAAAUGAAAGCAAGUACAUGGUAACUAAUAAAGAGUCUGCAGAGGGAACACCGCGGAUUAUGAGAUUCAGUGACUUAGCAAAUCCUACAUCAACACCAGCAUAUAAAAGCCCUUGAAACUGCAGAGCAACUUGACAGUACCUCUAGAAGACUUCUUCGAAUUUAUGUAGCUAAACAGGAUCUUUAUUAAAUCCAGGAAACAAUUCUCUUGCUCCUCAUAAUGAGAAAAAUCCAUUCAUCCAUCAGUUAAAAGCUGGAAACUCAGACCGUCUGCAGAAUAUUAUUAAUUCGUUUAAUUGCCAAGUUAAACUUCGAUAUUUACCCUGAAUAUUAUUCAAAUGACACUCAAAUGAAUGUGCAAACUAUACAGUGAAGAACAUAAUUAAAUUUUAUAAUUUCAAAUAUUACAUGGUACUCAUAUUAAACAAUGUUUGAAUUAAAAGUUGUAAUUUUUAUAAAUAACAACAUUUAUACAUGUAAUGUGUAUUAAUAUUAAAAAAAACAUAUCUUGUAA